rnacentral:rRNA from 1 species
AUUGAACGCUGGCGGCAGGCUUAACACAUGCAAGUCGAGCGAGCGGCGGACGGGUGAGUAAUGUCUGGGAAACUGCCUGAUGGAGGGGGAUAACUACUGGAAACGGUAGCUAAUACCGCAUACCAUCGGAUGUGCCCAGAUGGGAUUAGCUAGUAGGUGGGGUAACGGCGCACCAAGGCGACGAUCCCUAGCUGGUCUGAGAGGAUGACCAGCCAAACUGGAACUGAGACACGGUCCAGACUCCUACGUGAGGCAGCAGUGGGGAAUAUUGCACAAGGGGCGCAAGCCUUAUGCAGCAAUGCCGCGUGUAUGAAGAAGGCCUUCGGGUUGUAAAGUACUUUCAGCGGGGAGGCGUUACUCGCAGAAGAAGCACCGGCUAACUCCGUGCCAGCAGCCGCGGUAAUUC